GAUGAACGCUGGCGGCGUGCUUAACACAUGCAAGUCGAACGGACGCUUUGGGAAACUGAGGCGUUAGUGGCAAACGGGUGCGUAACACGUGGGUGACCUACCUCAAAGAGGGGAAUAACAGACCGAAAGGUUUGCUAAUACCGCGUAUGCUCGAUGGUUCAAUCCGUCGAGUAAAGUCGCAAGACGCUUUGAGAGGGGCCCGCGGCCCAUCAGGUAGUUGGUGAGGUAAUGGCCCACCAAGCCGAUGACGGGUAGCUGGUCUAAGAGGACGAUCAGCCACACUGGCACUGAGAAACGGGCCAGACUCCUACGGGUGGCUG
rnacentral:rRNA from 1 species